UGGGGAAUAUUGCACAAUGGGCGAAAGCCUGAUGCAGCGACGCCGCGUGAGGGAUGACGGCCUUCGGGUUGUAAACCUCUUUCAGUAGGGACGAAGCGCAAGUGACGGUACCUGCAGAAGAAGCACCGGCUAACUACGUGCCAGCAGCCGCGGUAAUACGUAGGGUGCGAGCGUUGUCCGGAAUUACUGGGCUGAAAGAGCUCGUAGGCGGUUUGUCACGUCGUCUGUGAAAUCCUAGGGCUUAACCCUGGACGUGCAGGCGAUACGGGCUGACUUGAGUACUACAGAGGAGACUGGAAUUUCUGGUGUAGCGGUGGAAUGCACAGAGAUCAGGAAGAACACCGAUGGCGAAGGCAGGUCUCUGGGUAGUAACUGACGCUGAGGAGCGAAAGCAUGGGUAGCGAACAGG
rnacentral:rRNA from 1 species